CGCCAUUGCCCCAAAGCUCGGGAUUGAAGAGCAGGCGCCAAAUGUGUUGAGACAAAAUUCAUCACCACAUAAUAUGGCCCCUGUGGAAGCGCAGGGAGACACUGUCCUCGAUGAAGCUCUGACUUGCCCAGCG